CCUACGGGUGGCAGCAGUAGGGAAUCUUCCACAAUGGGCGAAAGCCUGAUGGAGCAACGCCGCGUGGGUGAAGAAGGUCUUCGGAUCGUAAAACCCUGUUGUUAGAGAAGAAAGUGCGUGAGAGUAACUGUUCACGUUUCGACGGUAUCUAACCAGAACGCCACGGCUAACUACGUGCCAGCAGCCGCGGUAAUAAGGAGGUGGCAAGCGUUAUCCGGAUUUAUUGGGCGUAAAGGGAACGCAGGCGGUCUUUUAAGUCUGAUGUGAAAGCCUUCGGCUUAACCGGAGUAGUGCAUUGGAAACUGGGAGACGUGAGUGCAGAAGAGGAGAGUGGAACUCGAGGUGUAGCGGUGAAAUGCGUAGAUAUAUGGAAGAACACCAGUGGCGAAAGCGGCUCUCUGGUCUGUAACUGACGCUGAGGUUCGAAAGCGUGGGUAGCAAACAGGAUUAGAUACCCCGGUAGUC
rnacentral:rRNA from 1 species